rnacentral:rRNA from 1 species
UACGGGGGGAGCAAGCGUUGUUCGGAUUUACUGGGCGUAAAGGGCGCGUAGGCGGCCUCCGCAAGUCGACUGUGAAAUCUCCGGGCUUAACCCGGAAAGGUCAGCCGAAACUGCGGGGCUAGAGUGCAGAAGGGGCAAUCGGAAUUCUUGGUGUAGCGGUGAAAUGCGUAGAUAUCAAGAGGAACACCUGAGGUGAAGACGGGUUGCUGGGCCAACACUGACGCUGAUGCGCGAAAGCCAGGGGAGCAAACGGG